UUUUUUGUUUUUUGUUUUUUUUUUGGUCAGGAGAGGUUGAAUUUGAUCCAGAGGGAACAUUCUGGUUUUCCAUCUGCCUGUGGGCACAAGUUGUCAAGUUUGCAUUUGGAGGCUGCCAACUAUCACGUUGGGGGCCUAAGACAUAAAGUGCACAAAUAUUACUUUCAACUGACUGUUGCCAGCUCUCAUGGAAUUUUCUGAGUGUAAAUCCUCUUUUCCUUUUUUUCCUCCAGAAAAACCUCCCAUUUCUUAUAUGCACCCUUGCUACGAUCUUAGCACUUGCACCCAUCUCUAUACCAAGGAUAAUUUAGGCCUUCAGUGCCAAUCUGGAGAACACUGGACUUGAACAAAAUUGUUCCUUUGAAAAACACCUUAGAAAAGAAACAGUAACAUUUCUCAGGGGCAAUGGGCAGCAGUUUUUGAUCGGUACACAAGUUUUCAAAUGAAAUUCUGAUUCAGGCAUUGCUCUGCUAAAACAGUUUUUGGCCAGAGCUAAUGAACAAUAUGACAAACUUAACAACAAACUAACUCAUUUGCUCAGCAAAUCUUUUCCCAGCUUCUCCUCCAGUUGACUUAAGCUCUGCAACUCUUCCUCAUCCCCCCAUCCUCUUUUCAUACCUCAUUGACGCCUCCCUCUUCUUCCAGACCCCCUACCCUCUCCCAGUGACUCUCCUAAGAUCCCGGCAUGUCGUUUACCUCUAAAGUUCCAUCUCUUCAAUGACCCAAAUACGCAAGCAGCAGUAGAAUUUAAACCUUGAACAUGAGCUGAAUUAAAAGAAGAAAUUAUAGGAGAUUUUCAGAAUAAACUAGAAAAUUCCUUUCAACAGCAUUUGAGUGUUAAAGAAGUGUCAUUGUAAUAAUGGCUCUUUUAUCUGCUUUGUUAAUGGAAUUAAACCUGAAACUGGAGACAAUAAUUAGACCAAAAUUAGAAUGGGAAAUAGCCACUUUACCUGAACUUCAACACCUGGCUGACAUUUUUGCAGAGCCCUAGAACAAUAACAAGACAGGAUCCAGAAUAAACUUAUGGCCCUGCAGAUCAAACAGUUGAGUGGACGGCCCCUAGAAGAGGACACCUGCAGAUAUUGAAAACAGAAGGGACACUUGAAAAAUGAUUUUCCAGUAAAAAUAAGACCAAAAAACCCCUUAAUUUAGAUCAAUGAAGGUACCCAAUAUCCUGAUUUAAAAUUUAACAUUCAAGGUGAAUUAACCAUAAAUAUAUAUGGCCAACCUCAGCGAUUCCUGGCAAUAUGGGCGCUACUCUUUCUUUUCUUUCUUUUUUUUUUUUUUUUUUGAGAUGGAGUCUUACUCUGUCACUGAGGCUGCAGUGCAGUGGCGCAAUCUCGGUUCACUGCAACCUCCGUUUUCUGGGUUCAAGCGAUUCUCCU
rnacentral:lncRNA from 1 species